UGUAGCUUAGUGGUAGAGUGCUUGUCUAGCAUGCAUGAGGCCAUGGGUUCAACNCCCAGCA
rnacentral:tRNA from 1 species